CUAGUAAUCGUAGGUCAGCAUACUACGGUGAAUACGUUCCCGGGGCCUUGUACACACCGCCCGUCAAACCAUGAGAGUUGGCAACACCCGAAGUCGGUAGUCUAACCGCAAGGAGGACGCCGCCGAAGGUGGGGUUGAUGAUUAGGGUUAAGUCGUAACAAGGUAGC
rnacentral:rRNA from 1 species